rnacentral:rRNA from 1 species
UACGAAGGGGGCUAGCGUUGUUCGGAAUCACUGGGCGUAAAGCGCACGUAGGCGGAUUGUUAAGUCGGGGGUGAAAUCCUGAGGCUCAACCUCAGAACUGCCUCCGAUACUGGCAAUCUCGAGUUCGGAAGAGGUUGGUGGAACAGCUAGUGUAGAGGUGAAAUUCGUAGAUAUUAGCUAGAACACCAGUGGCGAAGGCGGCCAACUGGUCCGACACUGACGCUGAGGUGCGAAAGCGUGGGGAGCAAACAGGG